ensembl:snRNA U6 U6 spliceosomal RNA
GUGCUCAUUUUGGCAGCACAUAUACUAAAAUUGGAAUGAUACAGAGAAGAUUGGCAUGGCUCCUCUGCAAGGAUGAUGCACAAAUUCAUGAAGCAUUCCAUAUUUUU